GAUGAACGCUGGCGGCGUGCCUAAUACAUGCGAGUCGAGCGAACAGACGAGGAGCUUGCUCCUCUGACGUUAGCGGCGGACGGGUGAGUAACACGUGGAUAACCUACCUAUAAGACUGGGAUAACUUCGGGAAACCGGAGCUAAUACCGGAUAAUAUAUUGAACCGCAUGGUUCAAUAGUGAAAGACGGUUUUGCUGUCACUUAUAGAUGGAUCCGCGCCGCAUUAGCUAGUUGGUAAGGUAACGGCUUACCAAGGCAACGAUGCGUAGCCGACCUGAGAGGGUGAUCGGCCAAACUGGAACUGAGACACGGUCCAGACUCCUACGGGAGGCAGCAGUAUGGAAUCUUCCGCAAUGGGCGAAAGCCUGACGGAGCACCCCCGCGUGAGUCAUGAAGGUCUUCGGAUCGUAAAACUCUGUUAUUAGGGAAGAACAAAUUUGUAAGUAACUAUGCACGUCUUGACGGUACCUAAUCAGAAAGCCCCGGCUAACUACGUG
rnacentral:rRNA from 1 species